GACCCCCCUCCUCAGACCACCAUCACCAUUGUGGGCAUUGCUGCUGCCCUGGGUCUCCUUGGAGCUGCAGCUGCUGGAGCUGUGCUGUGGAGGAGGAAGUGCUCAGGCACAGACAAUGAGAGCUAUGCUCAGGCUGCCUUGUAACAGAGCUGCCUUCUAUGGGACCUACUGCUAAAAUAGUCACUGCAGUCACUCCCCUUGGGACUUUAAGGAUCCCUGACUGAUGUAUCUGCAACCGGCAUUAGAAUGUCUUCAUUCAAUUAAAUUUCACUCUGU